GGAAGUAGGCCUUCCGAGGCCGCCUUACAGGAGGAGGCUUCAAACCACUCUAAGCUGCUGUGAUCAAAAGUCAUGGUAGUGAGCGUUAGAGAAAAGGUGUCUUACAAGGCAUCAGGU
rfam:Candidatus Scalindua sp. BSI-1 SCARTB_contig000376, whole genome shotgun sequence.